rnacentral:rRNA from 1 species
AUUGAACGCUGGCGGAAUGCUUUACACAUGCAAGUCGAACGGUAGAGGGGGCAACCCCUCGAGAGUGGCGAACGGGUGAGUAAUAUAUCGGAACGUGCCCAGUCGUGGGGGAUAACGUAGCGAAAGUUACGCUAAUACCGCAUACGAUCUAAGGAUGAAAGCGGGGGAUCGCAAGACCUCGCGCGAUUGGAGCGGCCGAUAUCAGAUUAGGUAGUUGGUGGGGUAAAGGCUCACCAAGCCAACGAUCUGUAGCUGGUCUGAGAGGACGACCAGCCACACUGGAACUGAGACACGGUCCAGACUCCUACGGGAGGCAGCAGUGGGGAAUUUUGGACAAUGGACGCAAGUCUGCUCCAGCCAUUCCGCGUGCAGGAUGAAGGCCCUCGGGUUGUAAACUGCUUUUGUACGGAACGAAAAGGUCUCUCUUAAUACGGGGGGCUCAUGACGGUACCGUAAGAAUAAGCACCGGCUAACUACGUGCCAGCCGCCGCCGUAA